rnacentral:tRNA from 1 species
UGGGCAGUAGCUCAGAGGUACAGCUCCCGCUUAAUAUGCGGGAAGACCUGGGUUGGAUUCCCGGCUGCUUAC